rnacentral:misc_RNA from 1 species
AAUUCUCAAAACCCUUUCUUUGGUCUUUUGAUCAGGGGAAGGAUUUUUGGACUUGGAGGCCUUUUGCUGGUUUCACCUUGAAGCGAGCUCCUCCCAAAUGGAUUAGUGGGGUCUGCUUUGCCGAUCCUUGGCGUGAUAAGUUGUUUCUACGUCUUGGGUUUUGGCACUGUACACCUGCUUCUAACUGUCUCAUCGACAAUGAUGGUGCUCUGGUCACCGCCGAUUUCUCGGUGGGAGGCUUGACCCACAAAAUGAACCU